CUGCACAGAGAGUCAGGGGCCAGACUGAAUGAAGAAGCUAGAUCCAUGGCAGAGGGAGGAAUUGCCAAGCUGCUUAGGCCAGCACUCUUCUAUCAACUAGGAAAGCUCUGCAUCCGUGUUUCUAUUUCUUAAUGCACAACAUACACCAGGAGAGAUGAAGUAGGUACACUGGAGCGGACCCCACUGUGCCGUGUCUUCUUGGUUUGAAGUCUGGCCAUUCCACUUUGUCUACCAUCCCGAGAUGAGAACAUAAAGCAAAGAAGAGAGUUCAUCUGAGUUUCUGUGCAGCCUCUGUUGAAGGUUACACACUCUACUUUCCUUCUGAGGUUUUCCUGUACCAAGAUUUAGUGCCAGCAGCCAGGAUGAGAUACAUUCCAAAGAAAAGAGUCCCUGAGGCUUGAAA